CGUAUUGCUAAAAAAAAGACCCUUUCACCGUCUUCUGCUACCGUUCUCUUAAAAACCUUUUUUUUUUGUAACUCCUAAGAUCCAAAUUUAUGGUUUCGUUACUCUCAUCUCCACUUCAAUAUCAUUCUCAGUUUAAGUCUCUGUUCCAAUUCUUUUUUUGAAGGAGGUUCGAUUUCUCAACAAACUGAAGCUAACAAUAAUGGAGAUUUCCCAAUUGUACCUUUCCAACUUGAAGACCGGUCGUUUUAAGGACGUGGUGGUGACACGUCUUCUUCGAUUCUGGGGAGUCGGUACUUUGAAGAAAGGAGGCGAGCUUAUGGGGGAGGGUGGACAUGUACCAAAACUCAUCGACUUGAUACUUGACUUGACAACGACGAGUACUUGAAAAAACGAGGCGAGUACGGGUCAAGUAGCGGGUAUAAGACAAUCGACGUUAAUACAAAGUACUAUCACCGCACCUCGGCUCUACACUUUUAAAAAUCUACUCAGUGAAGGCGCUGUCUACGAGCUUAGUAUUUUCUAUAUUGCUAGAAGCAAUAACCACUUCAAACUGUGCGCCUCUCCUGUCUCUAUUCGAUUUACCGAGCAUUCCAGCUUUGUCGAGGUUGUCGACCCUGCGGAAAUAAUCAGGUUUUGCAAUUAUGAGCAGCUAAGGGCUCUCACUGACACCAACAUAGAUUUGUCCGAUAUUUUGGUCAGGACAGGAGUAUAAACACCAUCUACAAUGACGAAAACGAGUCGAUACAGCGUGUUAUGAUCACUAUCCAGCUGGACAGUUUCGUAGCCGUCCCCUACACAAGCACCAUUAAGUUUCAAGUUUUUAAAGUUUUAUUUAACUUGAUAGAUGUUUCUUACUGAUAAACCUCAUCAACCUCUGCAGGUCAACCACUGUGUGUCAAUGUGUUUGAUAGGUUGCAUGACAAGUUAGUCCUCUUGGAUGUGGAGACAAAGGUCAUGAUUGCAACCAACAUAAAUCCCAAAUUAUUGUGCAGGUCAUUUAUUCCUCAAAGCCACAUUAAGGACACACUUCUACUUUUAUCAUGAAAGCCAAACCAUUCAGUGUUUCUUAAAAGAAGUAGAGAGUGAUUCCUCUGGUAUAUCUUCCAAAUAUGAUGGAGUUUCUUAUAUAGCACCACCCAAGUGAUGAUAUGGCUGUAGCUGUUAAACUUUCUAUGGUCCCAAAUCCAGUGGUGAAAAGCAUUUGUUCGGAUCACACAAACGGGCCAGAUGAUGUUCCAAUUAUUAAAGGAUGUCCAGCCAGCACCGACCCAGAGCCUGCACAUACUGAUUCAGUCAUGACCUCCACCGAGACUCCAGUUGAUGAUGAAAAGGCCCCCAGUUCAAAGUAAGCUCGCAAAUACUGAUCACUCCAACUAUGGAGACUUGGAAUUUGCAAAGUACAGUUCCAUUGUUUGUUUCAAAGUUUUAUGUUUUCCUUCAAUAAUGCUGUAAUCCACAUACUUUUACUUGGCACCAAAAUGUUUUUAUGUACUUUAUCUUUUAUUUGGUACAAUGCCAUUUAAAUAGUUGAGUUUGUUAUGAGCAUUA